rnacentral:rRNA from 1 species
GAUGAACGCUGGCGGCGUGCUUAACACAUGCAAGUCGAACGAAGCACUUUUACAGAUUUCUUCGGAAUGAAGUUUUUGUGACUGAGUGGCGGACGGGUGAGUAACGCGUGGGUAACCUGCCUCACACAGGGGGAUAACAGUUGGAAACGGCUGCUAAUACCGCAUAAGCGCACAGUACCGCAUGGUACAGUGUGAAAAACUCCGGUGGUAUGAGAUGGACCCGCGUUGGAUUAGCUGGUUGGUGAGGUAACGGCCCACCAAGGCGACGAUCCAUAGCCGACCUGAGAGGGUGACCGGCCACAUUGGGACUGAGACACGGCCCAAACUCCUACGGGAGGCAGCAGUGGGGAAUAUUGCACAAUGGGCGAAAGCCUGAUGCAGCGACGCCGCGUGAGCGAAGAAGUAUUUCGGUAUGUAAAGCUCUAUCAGCAGGGAAGAUAAUGACGGUACCUGACUAAGAAGCACCGGCUAAAUACGUG